UACGUAGGUGGCAAGCGUUGUCCGGAUUUACUGGGCGUAAAGAGCGCGCAGGCGGUCGUUCAAGUCGCGUGUGAAAGCCCCCGGCUCAACUGGGGAGGGUCACGCGAUACUGAUCGACUGGAAGGCAGGAGAGGGUAGUGGAAUUCCCGGUGUAGUGGUGAAAUGCGUAGAUAUCGGGAGGAACACCAGUGGCGAAGGCGACUACCUGGCCUGUUCUUGACGCUGAGACGCGAAAGCUAGGGGAGCAAACGGG
rnacentral:rRNA from 1 species